AUUGAACGCUAGCGGCAGGCCUAACACAUGCAAGUCGAACGAGUGGCGUACGUAAUAGUAAUGUAUGGGAAACUGCCCGAUGGAUGGGGAUACCUACUGGAAACGGUUGCUAAUACCGCCUACCAUCGUCUGUGCCAAGCUGGGAAUAGCUAGUAGGUGGGGUAACGGAUCAACUAGGCGACGAUUCCUAGCUGGUUUGAGAGGAUGACAAGCCACACUGGAACGUGGACACGGUACAGACUCCUACGGGAGGCAGAAGUGGGGAAUAUGGCACAAUGGGCGAAGGCCUGAUGCAGCCAUGCCGCGUGUAUGAAGAAGGCCUUCGGGUUGUAAAGCACUUUCAGCGAGGAGGCGUUACUAGCAGAAGAAGCACCGGCUAACUCCGUGCCAGCAGCCGCGGUAAUUC
rnacentral:rRNA from 1 species